rnacentral:misc_RNA from 1 species
AAACAUUUCCCCACCACACAUGGAACCGGCAAUAUAAUUGCUUCCUUCUGCCAUUUCUCUUUCAGUUGUCCAUAGUUUUUUAGCCACUUUUACUGCCUUUUAGUAUUGAUGAACGAUAGGUUCAGAUUAAAAGGCCAGUUUCCUCGAAGAAAUAAUAUGAUAUCCUUAUUUUGGCUCAAAUACAAUGCAAAGCAUCAAGCACACCAGGCUUGAAGCUUGUUUAAUAUAUAGAACUCCAUAAAAUUUUAUGGAAUCAUUUUUAAAUCCACUCUUGCUAUAUGUUUCAUGUAUAUGUACAAUAAUUUGUUUGGAACUUUGCAUUUUGAUGCUAUGAAAUUGUUUGUUCUUGAGCAGAAUUCUACUAAUCACCAUACAUGAGAAAAUAUUUUGAACUCCAUUGGCAUAGGUGUUCAUCUAAAAAUAAAGAUAGAUUCGGAUUUGUGUUUAAAGAGA